UACGGAGGGGGCUAGCGUUGUCCGGAAUACUGGGCGUAAAGCGUGCGCAGGCGGUGAUGUAAGACAGUUGUGAAAUCCCCGGGCUCAACCUGGGAACUGCAUCUGUGACUGCAUCGCUGGAGUGCGGCAGAGGGGGAUGGAAUUCCGCGUGUAGCGGUGAAAUGCGCAGAUAUCAGGAGGAACACCGGUGGCGAAGGCGGGUCUCUGGGCCGUAACUGACGCUGAGGAGCGAAAGCGUGGGGAGCAAACAGG
rnacentral:rRNA from 1 species